rnacentral:sRNA from 1 species
UGAAUCAAUGAACAAACAAACCCCGCCUCCUACCCUAUACCUUCCUCCUUGAUUCCAAUUGACGGCCGCCCGCGACCAAACUCUGUUCUCGUCGAACUUCUGAGCCAACCUACAAUAUAAUCCAAACUUUCAUCAACGGAUCUCUUGCUUCUGGCACUCGAUGAACAACGCAUCAAAAUGCGAUAAGUAACGCGAAUUGCAGAAUUCCGUGAAUCAUCGCAUCUUUGAACGCACAUUGCGCCCGCCAGUAUUCUGGCGAGGUAUGCCUGUCCCAGCGUCCUUCCACCCCUCCAGCUCCGCUUGGUGCCUCGGCGGAUCAGCCCGCGCCCCGUAAAAAGGGACGGCCCGCCCGAGGACCCCUAAACUCUGUUUUAGUGGAACUUCUGAGUAAAACAUAAUCAAAACUUCAACAACGGAUCUCUUGGUUCUGGCAUCGAUGAAGAACGCAGCAAAAUGCGAUAAGUAAUGUGAAUUGCAGAAUUCAGUGAAUCAUCGAAUCUUUGAACGCACAUUGCGCCCGCCAGUAUUCUGGCGGGCAUGCCUGUUCGAGCGUCAUUUCAACCCUCAAGCUCAGCUUGGUGUUGGGACUCGCGGUAACCCGCGUUCCCCAAAUCGAUUGGCGGUCACGUCGAGCUUCCAUAGCGUAGUAAUCAUACACCUCGUUACUGGUAAUCGUCGCGGCCACGCCGUAACCCCAACUUCUGAAUGUUGACCUCGGAUCAGGUAGGAAACCCGCUGAACUUAAGCAUAUCAAUAAGCGGAGGAAUUCACCGUUCACUUGAGUUCCUCCACUACUACCUCCAUCUUCCAAUUCCUUCUUCCACAUUAAGCUUACUCUUUCACUUCGUACCAAUUACCCUCCUCCUUUCACCCUUAUAUCCUUAUACCUAGUACAUCUGUUUACGUAACUUCUAACUUACUUACCGUCCUUUCCUUAAUUACCAGCCAUACUAAUAUUCCUUAAUUCUUCUUCUUUAUCGUUACAACUAAACCUCCUCACACCU